CAGCCCUAAACGAUGCGCGUUAGGUGUAUCGGUGACCACGAGUCACCGAGGUGCCGAAGGGAAGCCGUGAAGCGAGCCACCUGGGAAGUACGGUCGCAAGGCUGAAACUUAAAGGAAUUGGCGGGGGAGCACCACAACGGGUGGAGCUUGCGGUUUAAUUGGACUCAACGCCGGGAAGCUCACCGGAUAAGACAGCGGAAUGAUUGCCGGGCUGAAGACCCUGCAUGACCAGCUGAGAGGAGGUGCAUGGCGUAGUCGUGU
rnacentral:rRNA from 1 species